GAUGAACGCUGGCGGCGUGCUUAACACAUGCAAGUCGAGCGAGAAGUUUUGAAAAGAUUCUUCGGAUGAAAUUUAAAAUGGAAAGCGGCGGACGGGUGAGUAACGCGUAGGCAACCUGCCCCAUACAAAGGGAUAGCAUUUGGAAACGAAUAUUAAUACCUUAUGAAACUUAACUAGUGCAUGCUAGGUAGGUCAAAGAUUUAUCGGUAUGGGAUGGGCCUGCGUCUGAUUAGCUAGUUGGUGAGGUAACGGCUCACCAAGGCGACGAUCAGUAGCCGACCUGAGAAGGUGAACGGCCACAUUGGAACUGAGACACGGUCCAAACUCCUACGGGAGGCAGCGGUGGGGAAUAUUGGACAAUUGGGGAAACCCUGAUGCAGCAACGCCGCGUGAACGAUGAAGGCCUUUGGGUCGUAAAGUUCUGUUCUAGGUGAUGAAAACUGACAGUAACCUAGGAGAAAGCCCCGGCUAACUCCGUG
rnacentral:rRNA from 1 species